GAGGUUGUGGCUCAGUGGUAGAGUGCUCGCCUGGCAUGUGUGGAGCCCUGGCUUCAAUCUUCAGCACCACA
rnacentral:tRNA from 1 species